rnacentral:rRNA from 1 species
UGGCGGCGUGCUAAUACAUGCAAGUCGAGCGGACGGAUGGGAGCUUGCUCCCUGAAGUCAGCGGCGGACGGGUGAGUAACACGUGGGCAACCUGCCUGUAAGACUGGGAUAACUUCGGGAAACCGGAGCUAAUACCGGAUAAUGCACAGCCUCUCAUGAGGCUAUGCUGAAAGAUGGUUUCGGCUAUCACUUACAGAUGGGCCCGCGGCGCAUUAGCUAGUUGGUGAGGUAACGGCUCACCAAGGCAACGAUGCGUAGCCGACCUGAGAGGGUGAUCGGCCACACUGGGACUGAGACACGGCCCAGACUCCUACGGGAGGCAGCAGUAGGGAAUCUUCCGCAAUGGACGAAAGUCUGACGGAGCAACGCCGCGUGAGUGAUGAAGGUUUUCGGAUCGUAAAACUCUGUUGUCAGGGAAGAACAAGUGCCGGAGUAACUGCCGGCACCUUGACGGUACCUGACCAGAAAGCCACGGCUAACUACGUGCCAGCAGCCGCGGUAAUACGUAGGUGGCAAGCGUUGUCCGGAAUUAUUGGGCGUAAAGCGCGCGCAGGCGGUCUCUUAAGUCUGAUGUGAAAGCCCACGGCUCAACCGUGGAGGGUCAUUGGAAACUGGGGGACUUGAGUGCAGAAGAGGAAAGU